rnacentral:rRNA from 1 species
AUUGAACGCUGGCGGCAGGCCUAACACAUGCAAGUCGAGCGGAUGAAGGGAGCUUGCUCCUGAAUUCAGCGGCGGACGGGUGAGUAAUGCCUAGGAAUCUGCCUGGUAGUGGGGGAUAACGUCCGGAAACGGGCGCUAAUACCGCAUACGUCCUGAGGGAGAAAGUGGGGGAUCUUCGGACCUCACGCUAUCAGAUGAGCCUAGGUCGGAUUAGCUAGUUGGUGGGGUAAAGGCCUACCAAGGCGACGAUCCGUAACUGGUCUGAGAGGAUGAUCAGUCACACUGGAACUGAGACACGGUCCAGACUCCUACGGGAGGCAGCAGUGGGGAAUAUUGGACAAAGGGCGAAGGCCUGAUCCAGCCAUGCCGCGUGUGUGAAGAAGGUCUUCGGAUUGUAAAGCACUUUAAGUUGGGAGGAAGGGCAGUAAGUUAAUACCUUGCUGUUUUGACGUUACCAACAGAAUAAGCACCGGCUAACUUCGUG